UACGGGGGGGCAAGCGUUGUUCGGAAUUACUGGGCGUAAGGGCGCGUAGGCGGCCUUCUAAGUCGGACGUGAAACCCCUCGGCUUAACCGAGGAACUGCGUCCGAUACUGAAAGGCUUGAAUCCGGGAGAGGGAUGUGGAAUUCCAGGUGUAGCGGUGAAAUGCGUAGAUAUCUGGAGGAACACCGGUGGCGAAGGCGGCAUCCUGGACCGGUAUUGACGCUGAGGCGCGAAAGCUAGGGGAGCAAACGGG
rnacentral:rRNA from 1 species